UAGCUAGUUGGUAGGGUAAAGGCCUACCAAGGCGACGAUCGGUAGCUGGUCUGAGAGGAUGGCCAGCCACACUGGAACUGAGACACGGUCCAGACUCCUACGGGAGGCAGCAGCGGGGAAUAUUGGACAAUGGGGGCAACCCUGGUCCAGCAAUGCCGCGUGUGUGAAGAAGGCCUGAGGGUUGUAAAGCACUUUCAGUGGGGAGGAGGGUUGAUUGGUUAAGAGCUGGUUAAUUGGACGUUACCCACAGAAGAAGCACCGGCUAACUCCGUGCCAGCAGCCGCGGUAAUACGGAGGGUGCGAGCGUUAAUCGGAAUUACUGGGCGUAAAGGGUGCGUAGGUGGUUUAUUAAGUUAUGUGUAAAAUCCCUGGGCUCAACCUGGGCAGGUCAUAUAAUACUGGUAGACUCGAGUAUGGGAGAGGGUAGUGGAAUUUCCGGUGUAGCGGUGAAAUGCGUAGAGAUCGGAAGGAACACCAGUGGCGAAGGCGGCUACCUGGCCUAAUACUGACACUGAGGCACGAAAGCGUGGGGAGCAAACAGGAUUAGAUACCCUGGUAGUCCACGCUGUAAACGAUGUCAACUAGCUGUUGGUUAUAUGAAUAUAAUUAGUGGCGC
rnacentral:rRNA from 1 species